rnacentral:rRNA from 1 species
UACGGGGGGAGCAAGCGUUGUUCGGAUUUACUGGGCGUAAAGGGCGCGUAGGCGGUCAGCACAAGUCAGUUGUGAAAUCUCCGGGCUUAACUCGGAAAGGUCAACUGAUACUGCGCGGCUAGAGUGCAGAAGGGGCAACUGGAAUUCUCGGUGUAGCGGUGAAAUGCGUAGAUAUCGAGAGGAACACCUGCGGCGAAGGCGGGUUGCUGGGCUGACACUGACGCUGAUGCGCGAAAGCCAGGGGAGCGAACGGG